rnacentral:rRNA from 1 species
GACGAACGCUGGCGGUGUGCUUAACACAUGCAAGUCGAACGGAAAGGCACUGCUAUCGUGGGCUGCCGGGGGGGCGAACGGGUGAGUAACACGUGAGUAUCCUGCUCUUGAUUUUGGGAGAACUUCAGGAAACUGGGGCUACUACCGGACAGGAGCCCCUGCUGCAGGGAGGGCGUGGGAAAGUUUCGGCUGUUGGGGAUGGACUCGCGGCUUAUCAGCUUGUUGGUGGGGUAGUGGCUUACCCAGGCUUUGACGGGUAGCCGGCCUGGGAGGGUGACCGGCCACAUUAGGACUGAGGUACGGCGCAGACUCCAACGGGAGGCAGCAGUGGGGAGUAUUGCACAAUGGGCGGAAGCCUGAUGCAGCGACGCCGCGUGCGGGAUGACGGCCUGCGGGUUGUGAACCGCUUUCGCCUGUGACGAAGCGUGAGUGACGGUAAUGGAUAAAGAAGCACCGGCUAACUACGUG